rnacentral:lncRNA from 1 species
CUUCUCAUCCCCCUAAGGAAGUAGAGCGCGGUGAAAGAAUUCCGUCGUUCAGUCGAAGGGGACAGGUUAGCAGCUUCAGGAUAACCCGAGCAGUGAAAGAGAAGUAGGGUUCAGGCCAAUCGAUCCUAUUUCGAUUAUACGGCUGGGUUCUAAACCAAAAAAGGGCAUUUGAAAGCAGAGCAAGUAUUAGUAGCAUAACAAAAAAGCCUUCCUCGUCAUUAAUAUCUUUGCUCGCGGCAAUUGUGACCUCUCGGGAGAAUCGAUAUCCUUCUCAUCCCCCUAAGGAAGUAGAGCGCGGUGAAAGAAUUCCGUCGUUCAGUCGAAGGGGACAGGUUAGCCGCUUCAGGAUAACCUGAGCAGUGAAAGAGAAGUACGGUUCAGGACAAUCAAUCUAAUUUUGAUUAUACGGCUGGGUUCUAAACCAAAAAAGGGCAUUUAAAAGCAGAGCAAGUAUUAGUAGCAUAACAAAAAAGCCUUGCUCGUCAUUAAUUUCUUUGCUCGCGACAAUUGUGACCUCUCGGGAGAAUCGAUGACUGCAUC